CAUUCACUCUCCUCUCUUCUUCCUUUUUAUCUCUCCUCCUCUAAAGUGGUUCUCCCUUUGAUCUUGGAGAUGGAGCCGAGUUUGCUGUGGUUUAAAGGUUUGCAAUCCUUCUCUCUUAGUUCUAUAAAUUCGCGAUUUUUAUGUUACUAAUUGUCGUUGCUUUCUUGUGAAUUUGUUCCGUUCUUUAAGUUUUAGCUUUUUUUUUGUUUGAUUCCUUUCGAAUUUUCGAAAUGGUGUGCUUGUUUUGUUGUCAAUAUAUUACUCGAUUUAUGUUUCUCUAAGCUUAGUAUUUCACAUGAAUUUGCUUCCCUUUCCGGGGUUUAAUCUGGCGUUUUAAUUGUGUUUUUUCCGAGAGAUUAUGGCAGCAGAGUUUGAGGAAUUGUCACACUCGCAAGUGUGGUUUGAUAUGCUGCAGGCAGUGCUUCUGUAGCAAGCUAAAGAAAUCGAUUUCAUCAAGUACACUUUGCAGGGUCACAAAAUAUUGUUGGAAGCUGACGAGGAAGAUUUGGUUCAUGAGCCAUGAAUGUGUUAAGGAGAAGUUUGUUUGAACUUAUACAUCUCCAGAAUUUCCAAUGGUGCAGGUAUAACUGUAUAAGGGUACUUACUGCAGUCAGGAAGUGUUCUGAAGCCCAAGCUUCUAAAUACAGAUUUCCAGAAGGUGUUUUGUCAAGAAGUGUGUAUCAUGAGGUUAUCAACUAUGUUGUUGAAAGAUGGUCCUUGACAAAUUCAAUGGAGGGAGGUGCGACUUGCUAAAUGCUAAUUGCUAUUCGGUUGGCUGGAGGACCCUUGCAUCAUUCAACAACUGUCGGAAAUGGGUCUCUCAGGUUGGGUUUGAGACCUUGGCAGCAGCAAAAGCCUGAUAUUUUUAAAUCUUCUGCAAUAAUCGGGCAUGUUACAACUGAAGCAAAUGAUGGCUCUACAUUUUUUGUCAUAGAUUUUAACUGUAUCUUUGAUUAAGUGAUUUUCAUUUUGAUAUG